rnacentral:rRNA from 1 species
GACGAACGCUGGCGGCGUGCUUAACACAUGCAAGUCGAACGGAAAGGCCCUGCUUUUGUGGGGUGCUCGAGUGGCGAACGGGUGAGUAACACGUGAGUAACCUGCCCUUGACUUUGGGAUAACUUCAGGAAACUGGGGCUAAUACCGGAUAGGAGCUCCUGCUGCAUGGUGGGGGUUGGAAAGUUUCGGCGGUUGGGGAUGGACUCGCGGCUUAUCAGCUUGUUGGUGGGGUAGUGGCUUACCAAGGCUUUGACGGGUAGCCGGCCUGAGAGGGUGACCGGCCACAUUGGGACUGAGAUACGUCCCAGUCUCCUACGGGAGGCAGCAGUGGGGAAUAUUGCACAAUGGGCGGAAGCCUGAUGCAGCAACGCCGCGUGCGGGAUGACGGCCUUCGGGUUGUAAACCGCUUUCGCCUGUGACGAAGCGUGAGUGACGGUAAUGGGUAAAGAAGCACCGGCUAACUACGUG